rnacentral:rRNA from 1 species
CCUACGGGUGGCAGCAGUGGGGAAUAUUGCACAAUGGGGGAAACCCUGAUGCAGCGACGUCGCGUGAGUGAUGAAGUAUUUCGGUAUGUAAAGCUCUAUCAGCAGGGAAGAAAAUGACGGUACCUGACUAAGAAGCCCCGGCUAACUACGUGCCAGCAGCCGCGGUCAUACGUAGGGGGCAAGCGUUCUCCGGAUUUACUGGGUGUAAAGGUAGCGUAGACGGCGGUGCAAGCCAGAUGUGAAAGCCCGGUGCUCAACCCCGGGACUGCAUUUGGAACUGUGCUGCUAGAGUGUCGGAGAGGCAGGCGGAAGUCCUAGUGUAGCGGUGAAAUGCGUAGAGAUUAGGAGGAACACCAGUGGCGAAGGCGGCCUGCUGGACGAUGACUGACGUUGAGGCUCGAAAGCGUGGGGAGCAAACAGGAUUAGAUACCCGGGUAGUC